GACGAACGCUGGCGGCGUGCUUAACACAUGCAAGUCGAACGGAAAGGCCCCUUUGGGGGUACUCGAGUGGCGAACGGGUGAGUAACACGUGAGUAACCUGCCCUUGACUUCGGGAUAACUUCAGGAAACUGGGGCUAAUACCGGAUAGGAAUCCUUGCUGCAUGGUGGGGGUUGGAAAGCUUCGGCGGUUUUGGAUGGACUCACGGCUUAUCAGCUUGUUGGUGGGGUAGUGGCUUACCAAGGCUUUGACGGGUAGCCGGCCUGAGAGGGCGACCGGCCACAUUGGGACUGAGAUACGGCCCAGACUCCUACGGGAGGAAGAAGUGGGGAAUAUUGAACAAGGGGCGGAAGCCUGAUGCAGCAACGCCGCGUGCGGGAUGACGGCCUUCGGGUUGUAAACCGCUUUCAGCAGGGGCGAAGCUUGUGGUGACGGUACCUGCAGAAGAAGCACCGGCUAACUACGUG
rnacentral:rRNA from 1 species